AUGUGUGGAGAGGGCCAAAGGUCAAGAUGCUUUGAUCCGGCGAGGACAGAGGGCCAAAGGACCAAGUUUGUUCAUCUGUUUCCAAGAGGGAGCAGCUGUCAGGAUCCAAGCCUGACGAAACUGAAUAUUUUCGACACUUGUACUGUUCAUGAUCAGUUUCAGUCCCGCGGUCUCUGUCGUCUGCAUCGCAAGGCCCUAGUUGCCUCUUACCGGUUCACGACGGCAGGACUCCCUCAGCCACAGAUCAACCAUCCCGCCAAGUCCAGUGUCACUGUUAACUUUCUGACAGAGUUGCUUUUGCUUCAUCAGGAUCUUCUUUUACUUUUUAGCUGUUUUGCCUGGCUAUUUAAGCCCCCAUUUUGGGAUCGCCACAUCCAUCUUCUUGUGUAA
rnacentral:rRNA from 1 species